GGUACACUGCAUACAAGUUUUCGAUAUGCACGGACUGAAGACAAUGAGGCUGCCCAAAGCGGCAUGAAGCUAACUCCGUUCAUCCGGAGGGUGAAGAAAGCUGUUGCAGGCACGUUGAAAAACUGAUGAAAAGUACUUGACUGACAUGGAAAAGAACACUUGAAUCUUUACCGAUCUUCUACCCAAGCCAAGAUAUCUUUCUGACAGCACACGAUUCCCAAAUCUACUAUAUACUUUUUAGAAUCAAUAUUGUGUUAAUGGAAGUCAUCUCGUUGUAAUGAAUUCCCAAUAACGAGAGAAAAUGCAAAAAAAAAAAUAUUACGCUUUCAAAUGGAAUUUUUAUUUGAAUAAACGGAAUGCAUUUUUUUUCUACCCAAACGGAGAUAUAUCUCUGACAGCACACGAUUACCGGGUUAACUAUACAUCUUUAUUUUUUAAAUAAAUCAAUCUCCAAUAUCAUGUUAUGGCAUUUAUGGAGGUGCAUCUGGUUCUAAUAUAUUUCCAAAACGAGAGAAAAUGCAGGAAAAUAAAUGAUGUCUUGCAGCCGAAUGUAGAUAUCUUUUAACCAGAAAAGUUAUUCAUAUCUGAUAGUCCAUCAUGACUAAAAUCAACAAAUCGUAUACAAACUGGCAUUUUCUUACUAAGUUACUUCGUUAAAAAUGACAUUUUUUCUGGUAUGUUCCGGUUAUGUAGCACAUGAUUUCAUAAUUACUUUGUUUCUUCUAUCGUCUACGAAAGAUUUUCUUUGUGGGUAGAACUGAAAUUUAAAAAAAAAGGAAUAUGUUUCAAACAUAAAA